ACUCCUGCGGGAGGCAGCAGUGGGGAAUUUUGGACAAUGGGCGAAAGCCUGAUCCAGCAAUGCCGCGUGAGUGAAGAAGGCCUUCGGGUUGUAAAGCUCUUUUGUCAGGGAAGAAACGGUGAAAGCUAAUAUCUUUUGCUAAUGACGGUACCUGAAGAAUAAGCACCGGCUAACUACGUGCCAGCAGCCGCGGUAAUACGUAGGGUGCAAGCGUUAAUCGGAAUUACUGGGCGUAAAGCGUGCGCAGGCGGUUUUGUAAGUCUGAUGUGAAAUCCCCGGGCUCAACCUGGGAAUUGCAUUGGAGACUGCAAGGCUAGAAUCUGGCAGAGGGGGGUAGAAUUCCACGUGUAGCAGUGAAAUGCGUAGAUAUGUGGAGGAACACCGAUGGCGAAGGCAGCCCCCUGGGUCAAGAUUGACGCUCAUGCACGAAAGCGUGGGGAGCAAACAGGAUGAGAUACCCCAGUAGUCCCA
rnacentral:rRNA from 1 species